rnacentral:rRNA from 2 species
CAACAUGGAACGAGUGCGGACGGGUGAGUAACACGUGGGUAACCUGCCCUUAAGUGGGGGAUAACAUUUGGAAACAGAUGCUAAUACCGCAUAGAUCCAAGAACCGCAUGGUUCUUGGCUGAAGAUGGCGUAAGCUAUCGCUUUUGGAUGGACCCGCGGCGUAUUAGCUAGUUGGUGAGGUAAUGGCUCACCAAGGCGAUGAUACGUAGCCGAACUGAGAGGUUGAUCGGCCACAUUGGGACUGAGACACGGCCCAAACUCCUACGGGAGGCAGCAGUAGGGAAUCUUCCACAAUGGACGCAAGUCUGAUGGAGCAACGCCGCGUGAGUGAAGAAGGCUUCGGGUCGUAAAACUCUGUUGUUGGAGAAGAAUGGUCGGCAGAGUAACUGUUGCCGGCGUGACGGUAUCCAACCAGAAAGCCACGGCUAACUACGUGCCAGCAGCCGCGGUAAUACGUAGGUGGCAAGCGUUAUCCGGAUUUAUUGGGCGUAAAGCGAGCGCAGGCGGUUUUUAAGUCUGAUGUGAAAGCCCUCGGCUUAACCGAGGAAGCGCAUCGGAAACUGGGAAACUUGAGUGCAGAAGAGGACAGUGGAACUCCAUGUGUAGCGGUGAAAUGCGUAGAUAUAUGGAAGAACACCAGUGGCGAAGGCGGCUGUCUGGUCUGUAACUGACUGAGGCUCGAAAGCAUGGGUAGCGAACAGGAUUAGAUACCCUGGUAGUCCAUGCCGUAAACGAUGAAUGCUAGGUGUUGGAGGGUUUCCGCCCUUCAGUGCCGCAGCUAACGCAUUAAGCAUUCCGCCUGGGGAGUACGACCGCAAGGUUGAAACUCAAAGGAAUUGACGGGGCCCGCACAAGCGGUGGAGCAUGUGGUUUAAUUCGAAGCAACGCGAAGAACCUUACCAGGUCUUGACAUCUUUUGAUCACCUGAGAGAUCAGGUUUCCCUUCGGGGGCAAAAUGACAGGUGGUGCAUGGUUGUCGUCAGCUCGUGUCGUGAGAUGUUGGGUUAAGUCCCGCAACGAGCGCAACCCUUAUGACUAGUUGCCAGCAUUAGUUGGGCACUCUAGUAAGACUGCCGGUGACAAACCGGAGGAAGGUGGGGAUGACGUCAAAUCAUCAUGCCCCUUAUGACCUGGGCUACACACGUGCUACAAUGGAUGGUACAACGAGUUGCGAGACCGCGAGGUCAAGCUAAUCUCUUAAAGCCAUUCUCAGUUCGGACUGUAGGCUGCAACUCGCCUA